GCCGGGGUGGCGGAACUGGCAGACGCGCCACGUUCAGGGCGUGGUGGGCAUACGCCCGUGCGGGUUCAAAUCCCGCCCCCGGCA
rnacentral:tRNA from 2 species